GACGAACGCUGGCGGCGUGCUUAACACAUGCAAGUCGAACGGUGAAGGGACUGGUUUUGCUGGUCCUGGAUGAGUGGCGAACGGGUGAGUAACACGUGAGUAACCUGCCCCCUUCUUCUGGAUAACCGCAUGAAAGUGUGGCUAAUACGGGAUAUUCUGGGUCUGUCGCAUGGUGGGCCUGGGAAAGAUUGCGCCUUUUUUGGUGUUUUUGGUGGGGGAUGGGCUCGCGGCCUAUCAGCUUGUUGGUGGGGUGAUGGCCUACCAAGGCGGUGACGGGUAGCCGGCCUGAGAGGGUGGACGGUCACACUGGGACUGAGACACGGACCAGACUCCUACGGGAGGCAGCAGUGGGGAAUAUUGCACAAUGGGCGCAAGCCUGAUGCAGCGACGCCGCGUGAGGGAUGGAGGCCUUCGGGUUGUGAACCUCUUUCGCCAGUGAAGCAGGCCUGCCUCUUUUUGUGGGUGGGUUGACGGUAGCUGGAUAAGAAGCGCCGGCUAACUACGUG
rnacentral:rRNA from 1 species